GACGAACGCUGGCGGCGUGCUUAACACAUGCAAGUCGAACGGAAAGGCCCUGCUUUUGUGCGCUGCUCGAGUGGCGAACGGGUGAGUAACACGUGAGUAACCUGCCCUUGACUUUGGGAUAACUUCAGGAAACUGGGGCUCAUACCGGCUAGGAGCUCCUGCUGCAUGGUGGGGGUUGGAUAGUUUCGGCGGUUGGGGAUGGACUCGCGGCUUAUCAGCUUGUUGGUGGGGUAGUGGCUUACCAAGGCCUUGACGGGUAGCCGGCCUGGGAGGGUGACCGGCCACAUUGGGACUGAGAUAGGGCCCAGACUCCUACGGGAGGCAGCAGUGGGGAAGAUAACACAAUGGGCGGGAGCCAGAUGCAGCACCGCCGCGUGCGGGAUGACGGCCUUCGGGUUGUGAACCGCUUUCGCCUGUGCCGAAGCGUGAGUGACGGUAACGGGUAAAGAAGCACCGGCUAACUACGUG
rnacentral:rRNA from 1 species